rnacentral:rRNA from 1 species
UACGUAGGGUGCAAGCGUUAAUCGGAAUUACUGGGCGUAAAGCGUGCGCAGGCGGCUUUGCAAGUCAGAUGUGAAAUCCCCGGGCUUAACCUGGGAACUGCAUUUGUGACUGCAAGGCUAGAGUACGGUAGAGGGGGAUGGAAUUCCGCGUGUAGCAGUGAAAUGCGUAGAUAUGCGGAGGAACACCGAUGGCGAAGGCAAUCCCCUGGACCUGUACUGACGCUCAUGCACGAAAGCGUGGGGAGCAAACAGG